UUAUUAGUGGUUAUCUGUCUGAUGCAGUCGAGCGGCAGCGACAACAUUGACCCUUCGGGGGAUUUGUUGGGCGGCGAGCGGCGGACGGGUGAGUAAUGGCUGGGAACCUGCCCUGACGUGGGGGAUAACAGUUGGAAACGACUGCUAAUACCGCAUGAUGUCUACGGACCAAAGAGGAGGACCUUCGGGCUUCUCGCGUCGGGAUGGGCCCAGUUGGGAUUAGCUAGUUGGUGAGGUAAUGGCUCACCAAGGCGACGAUCCCUAGCUGGUUUGAGAGGAUGAUCAGCCACACUGGAACUGAGACACGGUCCAGACUCCUACGGGAGGCAGCAGUGGGGAAUAUUGCACAAUGGGCGCAAGCCUGAUGCAGCCAUGCCGCGUGUGUGAAGAAGGCCUUCGGGUUGUAAAGCACUUUCAGCAGUGAGGAAGGCGUAGUGGUUAAUACCCACUGCGUUUGACGUUAGCUGCAGAAGAAGCACCGGCUAACUCCGUGCCAGCAGCCGCGGUAAUACGGAGGGUGCGAGCGUUAAUCGGAAUUACUGGGCGUAAAGCGCAUGCAGGCGGUUUGUUAAGCAAGAUGUGAAAGCCCCGGGCUCAACCUGGGAACCGCAUUUUGAACUGGCAGGCUAGAGUCUUGUAGAGGGGGGUAGA
rnacentral:rRNA from 1 species